UACGUAGGGGGCGAGCGUUGUCCGGAUUUAUUGGGCGUAAAGAGCGUGUAGGCGGCCAGGUAGGUCUGCUGUGAAAACUCGAGGCUCAACCUCGAGACGUCGGCGGAAACCAUCUGGCUAGAGUCCGGAAGAGGUGAGUGGAAUUCCUGGUGUAGCGGUGAAAUGCGCAGAUAUCAGGAAGAACACCCGUGGCGAAGGCGGCUCUCUGGGACGGUACUGACGCUGAGACGCGAAAGCGUGGGGAGCGAACAGG
rnacentral:rRNA from 1 species